AACGAACGCUGGCGGCAUGCCUAACACAUGCAAGUCGAACGAGACCUUCGGGUCUAGUGGCGCACGGGUGCGUAACGCGUGGGAAUCUGCCCUGGGGUGCGGAAUAACUCGGAGAAAUCCGUGCUAAUACCGCAUAAUGUCUUCGGACCAAAGAUUUAUCGCCCUGGGAUGAGCCCGCGUAGGAUUAGCUAGUUGGUGGGGUAAAGGCCUACCAAGGCGACGAUCCUUAGCUGGUCUGAGAGGAUGAUCAGCCACACUGGGACUGAGACACGGCCCAGACUCCUACGGGAGGCAGCAGUGGGGAAUCUUAGACAAUGGGCGCAAGCCUGAUCUAGCCAUGCCGCGUGAGCGAUGAAGGCCUUAGGGUUGUAAAGCUCUUUCAGUGGGGAAGAUAAUGACUGUACCCACAGAAGAAGCCCCGGCUAACUCCGUGCCAGCAGCCGCGGUAAUGUACAGUGU
rnacentral:rRNA from 1 species